AGCCUUGUAUUCAUUUUGUGAUUAUAGAAUGCAAUUCUGUAGGGGUAAGAUUGAAACUUACCAAGGCCU
rnacentral:tRNA from 1 species